rnacentral:lncRNA from 1 species
UAUCUUAGAAGUUGAGAAAAAUUUACCAAAUCAUCCAAAAUAUAUGUCUUGAAAAAUUAUUGAAAUUUUGGUAAAUAAAUUGUUUAUAUCAUUAGUGUUGGCAAUUUGUCACUGUUGCGAUGAAGGGGGAAAAAAAAGAAGAAAAAAAAACAUAAACAAAAUCUCUUAAUUUCUCUAUAAAUAUAAUUAAAUCUGACCGUUGUGAGAUUAAUUUCAAUUUCCUUAUUCUUUUUAACUUCAUAAUUAAUUUGUUUAUUCUCUCUCUCCCAAGACAACGCUUCUUCUUC